UACGAAGGGGGCUAGCGUUGCUCGGAAUUACUGGGCGUAAAGGGCGCGUAGGCGGCGCAACAAGUCACUUGUGAAAUCUCCGGGCUUAACUCGGAAAGGUCAAGUGAUACUGUUGUGCUAGAGUGCGGAAGGGGCAACUGGAAUUCUCGGUGUAGCGGUGAAAUGCGUAGAUAUCGAGAGGAACACCUGCGGCGAAGGCGGGUUGCUGGGCCGACACUGACGCUGAUGCGCGAAAGCCAGGGGAGCGAACGGG
rnacentral:rRNA from 1 species